GGAAGUAAAAGCGUAACAAGGUUUCCGUAGGUGAACCUGCGGAAGGAUCAUUAUUGUAUAACCGAGGUGCGAGGGCUGUCGCUGACCCGAAAGGUCGUGCACGCCCGAGUGCCCUCACACACAUCCAUCUCACCCCUAUGUGCACCACCGCGUGGGUCCCCCUUUGGCUUGUUCGGAGGGGGGCUUACGUUUUCACACAAACUUUGUAUGCAGUGUAGAAUGUAUUUUUUGUUUUUGUGAUCACGCAAUCAAUACAACUUUCAACAACGGAUCUCUUGGCUCUC
rnacentral:misc_RNA from 1 species